rnacentral:rRNA from 1 species
AUUGAACGCUGGCGGCAGGCCUAACACAUGCAAGUCGAGCGGAUGAAGGGAGCUUGCUCCUGGAUUCAGCGGCGGACGGGUGAGUAAUGCCUAGGAAUCUGCCUGGUAGUGGGGGAUAACGUCCGGAAACGGGCGCUAAUACCGCAUACGUCCUGAGGGAGCAAGUGGGGGAUCUUCGGACCUCACGCUAUCAGAUGAGCCUAGGUCGGAUUAGCUAGUUGGUGGGGUAAAGGCCUACCAAGGCGACGAUCCGUAACUGGUCUGAGAGGAUGAUCGGUCACACUGGAACUGAGACACGGUCCAGACUCCUACGGGAGGCAGCAGUGGGGAAUAUUGGACAAUGGGCGAAAGCCUGAUCCAGCCAUGCCGCGUGUGUGAAGAAGGUCUUCGGAUUGUAAAGCACUUUAAGUUGGGAGGAAGGGCAGUAAGUUAAUACCUUGCUGUUUUGACGUUACCAACAGAAUAAGCACCGGCUAACUUCGUG